rnacentral:rRNA from 1 species
GGGUUGUGAGGUUAAGCGACUAAGCGUACACGGUGGAUGCCCUGGCAGUCAGAGGCGAUGAAGGACGUGCUAAUCUGCGAAAAGCGUCGGUAAGGUGAUAUGAACCGUUACAGCCGGCGAUGUCCGAAUGGGGAAACCCAGUGUGAUUCGUCACACUAUCGUUAACUGAAUACAUAGGUUAACGAGGCGAACCGGGGGAACUGAAACAUCUAAGUACCCCGAGGAAAAGAAAUCAACCGAGAUUCCCCCAGUAGCGGCGAG